rnacentral:rRNA from 1 species
AGUGAACGCUGGCGGUAGGCCUAACACAUGCAAGUCGAACGGCAGCACAGUAAGAGCUUGCUCUUACGGGUGGCGAGUGGCGGACGGGUGAGGAAUACAUCGGAAUCUACUUUUUCGUGGGGGAUAACGUAGGGAAACUUACGCUAAUACCGCAUACGACCUACGGGUGAAAGCAGUGGAUCUUCGGACCUUGCGCGAUUGAAUGAGCCGAUGUCGGAUUAGCUAGUUGGCGGGGUAAAGGCCCACCAAGGCGACGAUCCGUAGCUGGUCUGAGAGGAUGAUCGGCCACACUGGAACGGAGACACGGUCCAGACUCCUACGGGAGGCAGCAGUGGGGAAUAUUGGACAAUGGGCGCAAGCCUGAUCCAGCCAUACCGCGUGGGUGAAGAAGGCCUUCGGGUUGUAAAGCCCUUUUGUUGGGAAAGAAAAGCAGCAGGUUAAUACCCCGCUGUUCUGACGGUACCCAAAGAAUAAGCACCGGCUAACUUCGUG